CAGCGAAGCUUCCGGGAGGCGGGGCCAAGGGGAGGAAGAAGGGAAAGAAAAGAGGAAGUCGCUUCAAUCUGGCAGCGUGAAGGACAAGACUCAAUCGGGCGGAGGUGACGCGCAUCGAGGGCGCCCCGCUUCCGGAAACUGGCGAUUGGCUGAUGGCGCCGUCAAUCCCCAGGGGAAAGGACUAACUUUCAGACAUCUCGGGAAAAUAUUACUGUGAGCCCCUUCUUGCUGAAAUAAAAGGUUCUGGAGAAAACCCAAGAGAUUCGGGAAAUGGUGCCAGGUCAAUUCAAGACACCCCUAUUCCACCCACACUUCAGAGUGCUGGAGAAGAUAUUGAGAAGACAGCAGACCUUUAUAGAACAUUUUAAUUCUCACCAUGUAGAUAACCAGAUUUUCCAGCUACUGUAUGUAUACCCCUUUUAUCCCUUUUCUUAUCUCACUAUGUUUUGAAGAGAGUGAUGACACUGAAGAUUCCCUCUCUCGUGUAUUUUUUUCUACCACAGGAAGAAUAAGACUGACAAUACUGACCACUCAGUUACAGUUACUACACGGCUGUGAAGUCAGCUGAGACUACCUCCAGCAUCCCAGCUCUUGUACAGUCUCUAAAGCUGGAUUCCUGCUCCUGUCACCUCCAUGGUAUUUGUGCUCUCAGCCAACUCUCCUCUCUCCACCUCCUCAGAACCUCAGGAAACACUGUGACCCUACACAUGCACAUACUGGCUAUUGUGAACUUAAGCUGAUGUGUUACCUCUUACAAGCAACUCAUUCACAUUCGCAGUUUGCUUGAACUUUACUGCAAGGAGAUCCAACCAGUCCAUUCUGAAGGAGAUCAGCCCUGGGAUUUCUUUGGAAGGAAUGAUGCUAGAGCUGAAACUCCAGUCCUUUAGCCACCUCAUGCGAAGAGUUGACU